rnacentral:rRNA from 1 species
UACGGAGGGUGCGAGCGUUGUCCGGAAUCACUGGGCGUAAAGGGCGCGUAGGUGGCCUGUGGAAGUCUGCGGUGAAAGCCCGGCGCUCAACGCCGGGUCGGCCGUGGAUACUCUCGGGCUUGAGCUUACUAGAGGCAGGUGGAAUUCCGGGUGUAGCGGUGGAAUGCGUAGAGAUCCGGAAGAACACCGGUGGCGAAGGCGGUCUGCUGGGGUAAUGCUGACACUGAGGCGCGACAGCGUGGGGAGCAAACCGG